AUUGAACGCUGGCGGCGUGCUUAGCACAUGCAAGUCGAUCGGUAACGCGGGGGCAACCCUGGCGACGAGAGGCGGACGGGUGAGGAACGCUUGGGAAUCUGCCUAUCAGCGGGGGACAACCCGGGGAAACUCGGGCUAAUACCGCAUACGCUCUACGGAGGAAAGCCGGGGACCGCAAGGCCUGGCACUGAUAGAUGAGCCCAAGUCGGAUUAGCCAGUUGGCGGGGGUAACGGCCCGCCAAGGCGACGAUCCGUAGCUGGUCUGAGAGGACGAUCAGCCGCACUGGGACUGAGACACGGCCCAGACUCCUACGGGAGGCAGCAGUGGGGAAUAUUGGACAAUGGGGGAAACCCUGAUCCAGCGACGCCGCGUGGGUGAAGAAGGCCUGCGGGUUGUAAAGCCCUUUCGGUAGGGACGAAAGCUCUCGACCUAACACGUCGGGAGGUUGACUUAACCUACAAAAGAAGCACCGGCUAACUCUGUGCCAGCAGCCGCCGUAAAAC
rnacentral:rRNA from 1 species